UAAAAACAGACGCACCGCCCCCAGAUGACGUCAGCGCGAAUGUUGUUGUUUGGGGCUGUUUAAUGAAUGACAGACGGAUGCCAAAGUACAAGGUCAUGGACCUCGACUGUCAAAGCCAACCUCUUCACAUUGUUGAGUCUAUGGAUGGAACUUUUCCCCAAAAAAAGCACCACAGCAGUGAGAGACUGACGCAGUGGGCAUAUCUGAAUUUCCUCUAAAGCAAUUGUGCUGGAGACAGUGGUCUUGUGGUGGUCCACGAGCGCAGGGCUGUGGGUCUGCAUUGUUCCAGUGUGCAGUUACAUGCAAGACAGGUGGCUGUGGUCAAACACGGACCCAGACUGAAGGAAUGUGAUCUCUACUUUGUUAAUUUGAUCUCUACUUUUGUAAUUUGUGAUGUAAACGGAAACUUUGAAACAAAUUUAAAUAUGACAAAAUAGCAACACAAUUGCCAACCGAUUGGUUAUAAAUGCUAAAGUUUGUCAAUGCUCAGCAAGGAAUUGAUGGUUAGUAGUAUUUUUCAAGUUUCAAUUCAAUUUGUAUAGUGCUUUUUAUGAUACAAACUGUUGCAAAGCAACUUUACAGUAAAUUAAAUUCAGUUAAUUUUUUCAGUAAUUGUUUUUAAUUGGUUGCCAUCUUUGACCAUUUUCACAAAAAUUUCAGGCCCCCCGAUCAGUGCUCUUUCAGAUGCUUCAUAGCUCCUCCUACCGUAUAACAGUGAAAACUCGGAAAACUCUCAAUGGUGGGGACGCAUAUAGUAAAUAACAGCACAUUCUAUCAGUGGUGGGGAAAGAGUUAAUCAUAUUUCGAAAUCUAAUAACAUCAUUAUGAGUACUUUAUCUAACAGCAUGUAAUAUCAUAAAGUGAGACAGCACAACUAUUCCAUUGCUAAGGCUGUUGAUGUUUUCCUGCCAAAAUGAUAUAAUUUCCUGUAGGAUGAUGUAAGGGUGCAAAGUUAAAUUGAGGUGCAGUUCAAAUUUUUUCUUAUUUUGUGUGUGUGCCGUCUCUUUAUGUAUUAUCUUCUGUUUUAAACUACCUCUAGUUGCAGCUGUCAGAAGAACAGUUGACAACAACUGAGCACAUCUCCAGCGUGAGCGGGUGAAAUGUUUUAUAUGCACCGAAUGUAUUUGUGAAGAACUGAAUAUCAGACAGUUCGAUUGUUCAUGUAAAUGAAUUCAUUCUGCUUCCCACUUCCUCCGUUUGUUUCCCUCCAAACUGCAGGAGCACAGAGAUAAAAGAAGAGGACAACACAAUGAUGUUUGUGACCAAACGGCCAUGUGAUGACAGCUGUGCUAGAAUAAAGCAGAUCUACACCAUAGACCUGGACAGCAACAGUCAAACAUGACAACUCCUACCUCAGGUUCAACAAACUCAACAGCAUCCAGAAGCUCAUUUGGCAGCAGAAAUCAUCUGCUAUGACAUAUAUCAGAACAAGCUGCGCGGCCCACAGCAAGUGUUUGUCUCAAUUAAAAACAAAUAAAAUCUAAAACUCCCACCAUUAUCAAAGUUUCUCACCAACUGGAUGAGGAAAACGCAGCUAUUUUUUGUUCUUUAGUGAACGGUUUAAUUAGUGUUCAGAGUAGUUCAGAUUUGUGUGUAUUUAUUAUACUUUCACUUAUACAUUUGAACCUAAAAUCUAUUAUAAAAAGGAUAAAAUGUAAGGUCCUGUGUCUGCUCACCAGGUUUUCAUUCAGUUGCUCAUUUUUAUAUAAUAAUUGGAUUUAAAGGGUCCAUGGUAUGACAAAGGAAAUUUCUAAAGUAUACUAAAAUAUUGAGUACUCAACUAUAUACUAAACAUUCAAACAUUAAGUCUGACUUUCUUAAAAGCUGCAUGAAUAUUUAGAUGGAAUAUAGCAGAACUGUCCAUCAUGUGUUCACACAAUAUAUUACUAUGUUCUUACAGUGACAUAUACAGUGCAAUAUAUAUACAGUACCCAAUGUCCUUUUUCCUUAAAAAAAUAAUAAAAAAAUACAAUAAAAUAAAGGAGUCAAUGUU